AACUUGUGCACCUUUGCUGCAAAUGGUGCAGGGCUCUGUGGGAGAAAAGGCAGGCGUACCGCCCUGAGGGCUGCGGGCGACAGAGGGUAGAGCGCAGCACGGCGGGCCCCUUGCCGAACUAUGUUAAACUCAGGGAUCCUCUCUGUGCUUCAGAAUCCUUCUGACCAAGGAAUCCUGCUGUCUUGAGGUAGGAUAAAAGAAAAUGCCGUAAAGAAGACACGUUCUGCAAAUGAGUAAGCUCUGCCAGAGAUGAACGCCAUGGCCAGAGUGACCUGAUGAGCCUCUGGGAGGACACAGCCAAGGCCUUGGUGACUGGUGUGAAACACUGAUGACAAGCAGAAGACACAAGGUAAGGGGAAAGAGUGGAAAGUGGCAUUGUAGUAGCCCCAGAUGUGUGUACAGAGGCACAAGUGCCCGUGCCAGCCAGAGUACUACCCCUGUGAGUACUGUAGGAGCAGACAGCCCACCGUGACAUCACCAGGUGGUAGAUGGUAACAUCACUGAGUGAUGGACUUUGAGCACACAGCCCUCACUGCUUAUAUUCGGGCACCGGCAGAGGCUGGCCCAGCCUGGCUCAUACCUGGACUCCUGCUGAGCAUGCCUGCAAGGUCUGGAGGGUUGAGCAUGGCUUUCUUCUGAUGCUGGCUUGUGCUUUGGGGGCUGCCAUCGGCAGGUGUCGGUGACUGUCCCUGGAGCCGUCACCUGCAUUGUCCCCAGCCCUGCCUGCUUCAGGCAGCUGGGCACCACAGGGUGUGCUCGCAGCAGCGGAGGUAAGCUAUGCAGGGAAACAUCCCCCCGGGGUGGCCAUGAGGCAGGCUGUGGGGCUUGGGAAGGUCCUGCCCCACAGACAGACCCUGACCCUAGCUGGGUGGGGAGUGCUUGGGAAACACCCAAACUGCGGGGGACCAGGAGGGUCUCCUUCCUGAGGGACCUGGACAUUUCUUCCUCCCCUUCCCUCCCUGGGACAGCGAAUGACCAUGGCCUGUCUCCAUUUUGCAGCAUGUGACACCUGCUGCUGUGGUGGCAGCGAGGGGGAGUAGCUCCUUGUCCUCAGCUCUCCCCAUCCUGCUGCAACAAGCAGACAUGGCUGCGGACACAGAGUGGAGCUGCCCCAUCUGCCGCGAUGCUCAAGAUGCUGUAGCUUAUGUGACCUGUCUCCACCAGUUCUGCCUGGGAUGAUUGUGCAGUAGGCAAAGAAGAAACCAGGGUGCCCCCUGUGGAAUGAUUGCUUGUGGUAACUUAUUGAUAUGUCCCCUUCUUAAGGGAAGGUGAACCUCCAGGGUGGAAUGCGGUGGAUAUACACGAAAUCUGUUCCGUAAUAAUUCCCUAAGCAACAUAGCCUGCAACCUUAGAUCAUCGCUGACUUCUGGGAUCAGUUGACGGGUUGAACCUCUCUUCCCUCCCAUAGGGACACCUGUUCGGCAAAAUUCGAACCCUCAGUUAUACUGAGUGCUUCCCUGGGAAACUUAGAAAUAUCUAUAGAGUUUUUCCACAAUUUAGUGUGCUUGUAGUCAACUGUAUUAUUAUUUGCGCAUGCUUUGCAGGCAGUGUCUUUAUCACUGGCAAUCCAAAAGAACCUGUACUCCUGUUGCUUUAAUAAACUGUACUGUUCAUUAAUCUAGCCGUGAUAGUUUGUUGAAUGUGACCAAACUCCUUAAGUCUGGCAAUUCUAGUGUGCUGAACAUGUCUACAUUGAAAGUACAGUGCACUAUUAGUGCAUCUGUAAUCGUGACAGUUCAAUAUAUUGAAUGACUGGACUUACAGUGCUGAAUUGGGCAUCACUCAGAAUCUUAAGCCUAGCCGCCCCCAGCCCCUCUGGUAUCUGAGGACAAGCUGGAAUGCAAGGGGGUUUAUUUUCUGCCAAACUUUGUUACGCUUUAACACAACAGAAAAUUGGCGUAGUUGGCAAGAUUGCCAUGGAUAAACUGCUGCAAAAAUAUAACUGUGCCCCUUUCCAGGCUGGGAAGGAGUGGGCUCAAAAGUUUUGGAAGUGUGAAGAGAAAGUAGUAGAAUACAUUGAGCAGUGUCAGGCUGUGCAAAGGAAAGGUGUCAUUUGUGCAGUUUUAGGAGCCUGUUUAUCUUGAGCUCAGCAAGAAGCUAAGGAAGCCCCUGCUCUCAAACAAAUUUCUGAUGUAGAAUAUACAGCUUUAAGAUCAGAAAAUGAAGUCAUCAUUGGCCUUUGAAAGGGAGGCAGGAGAAAAACUAGCUGAUAAGCUUGUGAGUGAGAAUAAUCAUCUUAAACAACUAUUGGAAGGGGUGAAUAGGCUAUUAGAUAAGACCUGAAUAUUCUAUAGCAAGUAUAUUACAAAUAUUGCUUUCCAAAAUCUAUGCUUAAAUUACUGUUGUGAACUUUAUUCGACUGUGAAUGAAUCUCAGGCUGCUGUUAUACUCAUAAUAUCUUUAGAUAUAAACCAUUGACCAAGUCUGAGACUAGGAGCUGAUCUAGUCGCACCUAGAUUCUGACAGGAGUUUAGAAAGCAAGGGGGUCUUCUCUGAACCUCUUGACUCAAUGGGAGGGUCUCCCCUACCUUUCUCUAACUCAAUUUUUCUCUGUAUGUUUCUCUUUUACCCUAUUGCAUGUUCGGUCUCUGUAUACAUAAUUUUAGUUUGAUUCUAACUUAAUUUUCCUUUGUAUGUUCCAUCCAUGUAUUAAAUAAUAGAGUGAACCUUG